UUUUGUCAGUUGAACCCUCAUACUCAUCACUUUGCCAACUAGACCCUUAAACCCAUCAGAAAACAACAUUUUAAACCCUUUUCUCCUCCGGUCAGAGUUCGUGUAAUGGACGCGAUUACACGUGAAAUUCCACAUCAUUUUUAGUGCCACAUGCGAAAUUAAGUGCUAAAAAAAAAUUUAAAAAUCAAAUAAAUCAAUUUUUUAAUUUCUUUAACUUUUCAAAUAGUCAUCUUCUUCAUAUUUGGUCACAAAUUGAGCACUAGAUUCAUACCCAUCAGAUCAAAUUCUUCUUGAUUUAACUUGUAAAUUCAACUACAAGUUCACCAACAC
rnacentral:lncRNA from 1 species